AAGGAUCAUUAUCGUACAAAAUGUGUGAGGCAUGCAAGGGCUGUCGCUGGCUUUUGACACAAAAGCCGUGCACGCCAGAGCGUGUCCUCUCACAUAAAAUCCAUCUCACCCUUUGUGCACCACCGCGUGGGCACCCUUCGGGAUCAAACUGAUCCGGGAGGGGGCUUGCGUUUUCACACAAACCCCUUUUUAAAAAGUGUAGAAUGACCCCAUUUUUGCGAUAACACGCAAUCAAUACAACUUUCAACAACGGAUCUCUUGGCUCUCGCAUCGAUGAAGAACGCAGCGAAAUGCGAUACGUAAUGUGAAUUGCAGAAUUCAGUGAAUCAUCGAAUCUUUGAACGCACCUUGCGCCCCUUGGUAUUCCGAGGGGCACACCCGUUUGAGUGUCGUGAAAAUCUCAACCUUCUCGGUUUCUUCUUGACACCGAAGAAGGCUUGGACUUUGGAGGUCUUUGCUGGCGUCUCUCUCUUUUGAAGGCCAGCUCCUCUUAAAUGAAUUAGCGGGGUCCUCUUUGCUGAUCCUCGACAUGUGAUAAGAUGUUUCCAUGUCUUGGUUUCUGGCUCUGUUGCCUUUGGGACCCGCUUCUAAUCGUCUCGACGACAACGCUUGGGCGUGUCUCCCUUCUCGGGAAACACCCUCAACCUCAUGAACCCUUGACCUCAAAUCGGGUGAGACUACCCGCUGAACUUAAGCAUAUC
rnacentral:rRNA from 1 species